rnacentral:rRNA from 1 species
CACGUAGGGCGCAAGCGUUGUCCGGAAUUAUUGGGCGUAAAGAGCUCGUAGGUGGUUUGCUGCGUCCGCUGUGAAAACCCAAGGCUUAACCUUGGGCUUGCAGUGGAUACGGGCAGACUAGAGGUAGGGAGGGGAGAAUGGAAUUCCCGGUGUAGCGGUGAAAUGCGCAGAUAUCGGGAGGAACACCGGUGGCGAAGGCGGUUCUCUGGGCCUUACCUGACACUGAGGAGCGAAAGCGUGGGGAGCGAAACAGG